UCCAGAUACGGUGACAUGGUACCGGGAACAAUCGCCGGUAAGAUAGUGGGUGGUGUGUGCUCGUUGUCCGGAGUACUCGUCAUCGCUCUGCCCGUGCCAGUCAUCGUGUCCAAC
rfam:Papilio xuthus contig17468, whole genome shotgun sequence.